UUUCGCUUAUCGCUUCCUGGCUUGGUCCACGGCAAGCUUCUAAUGUAGUUCGAUUUGGUACUCGCUUACAGAAGGCACGAUUGCUGAUCGCCUGCGUAUUCCUUCGCGUUAUAUACUUUCGUCUAAAGCACAGACAAAUCGGUCUGCCUGCCAACAUACCUUAUCGCUGUAAAAAGGCACAGACAAUUCGGUCUGCCUGCCAAACCAACUCUACAACAAACAAUAACUUUGUGAAUUUGAGGCCUUGGUGCCAAUUUUAUAAAUAAGUGCAACUUAAUUCGAAAUUUGUGCGGUUUUAUUUAUUUGGGCACCACCAAAGGUAAAUGGUUGUUUUUUACAGAUCAAGAUGUUGAUUACGAGCGUGGUAUUGAUUUAUACCGUAGCAUUUCUGGCUUUCAGCCCGGUGACAGGACCACCUCGAUUUUUUCAAUGCGGCUGCUGGAUAUUCGGUACAGGACUUAAUAAUUUGUUGGCUGCAGACUGCGGAAGUUUUACCUUCGACAUUAAGUGCUUGGCUGAUCUGUCGAUUGAUUCCCUGGAUAUAUCCGGAAUUAGCCUCAGGGAAGUACCCGAUUUAAGUGGAUUACAGGAACUCCGCCACCUAGAUCUAUCAAACAAUCAGAUUUCCUACCUGCCGGGAUGCAAUUUCAGUGCAUUUCCCCAUCUGACAAGUUUGAACUUAAGCCAUAAUCUUAUCACGGAAAUGCCAAAAGAGCCGUGUCGAAUGCAUUCAAUCGAUGUGAGUCACAAUCAACUGACUGAUAUGCACAGUUUGGUUGGACUUUUUAAGACGAAGGAUGCGAGGGUCAUGGGAAAUCCCAUUCGAUGUAACUGCAGUUCUCCUCUCGUUCAAAGAUUCUACACCCAUGCGAAUCAGUCUCAACUGCGAAACAUCGAGUGCAUUUUGCAUGACUCUGACAGCCCAAAACCAUUGUCGACCCAAUGCCACAAAGAAAUUAACGAAGAGCAGACUCUUUCAAAGCUUCCUAUCAUAGCUAUCGGUGCUUUACUCAUUUUGGUUGUUGGCAUUAUAAAAUUAUACAAAAAAAAAAAACCUCAUCAAUCAUAUAAUUAUUUAAGCGACAAUCACCGGACGAACGACAUAUAACAUGUUGAGUUGUCAUGAAAAUCUUAAGGAGUUUAAAACCACAUAAAAAGCCCACACAAGGUCUUAGACUAAAUUUUUUAUCUGGUUUUAAAUUAAUUAGAUUUUUUGUCAUCGACUUACAAAGUUCGACCAUUAUAACACUCAUCGGUAGUUGUCUGACCAGUAUCUUUAUACAAUUCGAAAAUUUUGGAAAUUGUAAAAGUAUUUUUGUAGUGUUAUAACGAAAUUAUUAAAAAGGUUAUUUUCAA